UUGAGUUGAGUUGAGUUGAGCAUGAUUUUAUUAGAUAGAAAAUUUAUUACGAAAUUAAUCAAGCGUCUAUCUGUUCUUGUUCCGUUGUAUGCUGUAAUUAUCAUUUACUGAGCAUUAGCUCAAAUCACGAUUUCCCUGUCUGUUAUCUAUUUCAGAUUAUUAGAUUUUUGCUCUUGGUCCAAGCGUUCGAUUGGUUUCUGGAGAGAGACAAUUUCUAGUCUUGUUUCCAUGGUAUGCCCGUAUUCGUGCUUCCUCGGGUUAACGUUUGGUUUAACUUAUUGAAUAGUUUUAGUUUUAUAUGAAUUUCA
rnacentral:misc_RNA from 1 species